rnacentral:misc_RNA from 1 species
UCCGGUUUGGCACCGGCAGUCUCCCUAGAGUCCCCGGCUUUACCCGCUGGCAACUAAAGGCAAGGGUUGCGCUCGUUGCGGGACUUAAGCCAACACCUCACGGCACGAGCUGACGACAGCCAUGCAGCACCUGUGCUAGCCCCUUACGGACACGGGCUUUCACCCGCUUUAACUAGCAUGUCAAACCCAGGUAGGGUUCUUCGCGUUGCAUCGAAUUAAGCCACAUGCUCCGCCGCUUGUGCGGGCCCCCGUCAAUUCCUUUGAGUUUCAGUCUUGCGACCGUACUCCCCAGGCGGGGUGCUUAAAGCGUUAGCUGCGCCACCGAUGAGCAAGCUCACCAACGGCUAGCACCCAUAGUUUACGGCGUGGACUAC